rnacentral:hammerhead_ribozyme from 1 species
AUCCAGCUGACGAGUCCUAAAUAGGACGAAAUUAGCAUCGUGGAU